AAAAACUAAAAAUACUGCAAAACUAAAAACCAAAACCAAAAGCUAGAAACCAAAAUCAAAAACUGAAAACCAAAACAAAAACUUAAAAAUCAAAAACCAAAAUCUAAAAACUAAAACCAAAAUCUAAAAACCAAAAACUAAAACUAAAAACUAGUUCAAACAAUCAACACCUGAAGAUUUUUUGUAAGUUUUUCCUCUGUAACCUGCAUAAUUGUUUAAUAAAUCAUUUUUUUCGGGAAUUGAAACUUGGACCUGCUGGUGUAAAAACAUUAAUAAACUCUUAGUCAAACUACUCAAAUAAGUGUGCUUCCACUACUAGAGAUUCUUUAUUAACUACAAAAGGAAGAGAGAAACAGAGGUCGAAGCAAAAUCUUUUAAGCAUCAGCCCAGAAGUUUAAGACUAAAAACCUAUACAUGCAUUUUGGGCCAAUUUGUCCGUAUCAAUCAGUUUAACUCGAGACCAAAUUGGAGUUUUUGUAGUUUCUUUGAUAAUAUUUAUUGAUUGCAGUGGAACAAGUGCGUAAAUGAUUAUUCUGGAUCAAGUGGAAUAGAAGACACUAAUUCAACAUGGCGUAAUAGCUAUGAAAUAUUUAGCUAAUUCUUUCUCACAUUUCAUAUUGUCAACAUAGCGAUUAAGAGCAGCUCCGAUGGGAUGUAUAGGGGAUCUAAAAAUAAAAAUAAAAGAAAAAAUUAAAAGAAAUUAAGAAAAAAAAAAGUUCUAAUCUUGCUACUUUUAGACUACCUAUCUAAUGUGGGUUCUUCUCAUUGGAGUUCUUAAUAUAUAUCAUAUAUGUAUAUAUGUAUGUAUAUAUUAUAUAUAUAAAUAUUUGUGGGAUUCAUAAUUUUUGUGGAACCCCGUAAUCAAAAGUUCUUAAAAUAUAUUUUAAGAGCUCCAAUGGAAAGAACCACCAUUGGAGGUGUUCUUAAAAACCUCUACUUCUUAUCUGUCACCGUCUAAAUGCAUCUUUC
rnacentral:lncRNA from 1 species